rnacentral:lncRNA from 1 species
CUCAAAGAGCCAGUCAAAUACAAUUACGAAAAAAUCACCACUCUUUCUAAGGCAACCAAUUUCACACAGCCCCUUCUGGGGUCUUCUCAUCUCAAGUUCUCAUGCUACCUUGAUGAGAAGGGUAGGAAGAGACACAAGAAAAAGGUAUGAUCUUGAUGCUCUUUUCAGUGUUUUGGAUUUUGUUUCUGCCCAGAAUGAGCUUUUUCUUGAUGAAUUGCAAAUGGGGUUUGUCUAUUUUAUGGUUAUAAUUCCAAGGUUAAUGUGAAAGAAGGAUCUUUCUAUUUGUUUGUGUAAAAUGAAUAUUUUGUGUGAAAACUGCAAAUGGGCUAGUCCCUGUUUUGCCAAAAUGAGCAUUUCCUUGGCAGCUUGCUAAUGGGUUGAUCCUUAAGACGCAUGAUAGAUGAUGAUAAAUUUGUUCUCUUUUCCUUUUUUUUUUCCCAUCCUUAGCAAUCAAAUUUCAAAUUGGUUGCUCUUUACCAUUCUGAUGGGUAAACAAAGAUUUUAGAGGAUUCUCUUAGGCUAUUUGGACGUGUAAGUGGAUAAUUUUUUCUCAAUUGUUGAUUGAGGGAAUUGCAAGUUUAUGAUUUUGAUAGUUUGCUGAUUUUGGCGAUACAUUGUCUUGUUUUGUUAUUGGUGUUUGUAAGUGCAGAAAGUAGGUGUUUUUGCAUCUAUCAUGAUUAUACCUUUUGUAUGAUCUGUCAGGUUUUGAACAAAGAACUCAAUAACUGAGACUAAUUCUUGGAGGAGACCUAUCAUGGUAUGUCGACCUUUCUCCUGUUUUAGCUGUCAGAUGGUGCGUUUGUUUUGUUUACCAAUCGAUGGGUUGAUUUAAGAUCUUUCAAAAUGUUUGCAUAAAGUUGUGUAAAGUUUUUUGAGCCUGGAAAGUGGAAUUAAUCUUCUUAUACAUGCAUGAGAGAGUGUGCAUGCCUGCUGCUUUGAUCCUAGCAAGUAGCAGCUAGUGUUUUACAUACAUAGAGUUUGUGUGCACUUGUGCAAUUGCCACAAGUUGAUGCAUGGUAUCUGAAGGGAAUACCAUCUGAAUUACGAGGUUAAAUGCUUAAUUGACUUAUGUUCGGCAAAUUCAUAAGUGAAGUUGCAGUGACAAGUUCUUAUGUGUGCUAAAAAGGAUAAAGCCCUAAUCCAAGAUGGGGGGAAGAAAGAAAGGAAUAGGUCCAGUAAAUGUUAAAAGGCCCAUCAUUUACUUUUAGAUGUAUAGGGUUAAAUGUACAUUUCCAAAACUGGUGAUCAUUUCGUUCAAUAACAAUGCGAUCUUCAGUUUUAGCUAGCUUUCAUUUUUCUGUUCAUGAUGUAAUAUAAAAUCGUCAUUAUUUUUUUCUGGAACUAUUGUGAGUGAAUGUUUUCAUUCAUGUUGAAUGCAGCAUAACAGCCUUGUGAAGUUUUGAGGCCUCAAGAUUUUCACUACAUUACAGUUACAUCAGAUUCUUGAUGAGCACUUUGCUUCGUUUUGUUCUUUUACUU